AGGAUGAACGCUGGCGGCAUGCCUAACACAUGCAAGUCGAGCGAGAAGGUUCAACAGAUUCUUCGGAUGACGAUGGAACCGGAAAGCGGCGGACGGGUGAGUAACGCGUGGGUAACCUGCCCUAUGGAGGGGGAUAACACAGUGAAAACUGUGCUAAUACCGCAUAAGCGCACGGUGUCGCAUGACACAGUGUGAAAAACUCCGGUGCCAUAGGAUGGACCCGCGUCAGAUUAGCUAGUUGGUGAGAUAAAAGCUCACCAAGGCUACGAUGGGUAGCCGGCCUGAGAGGGUGGACGGCCACAUUGGGACUGAGAUACGGCCCAGACUCCUACGGGAGGCAGCAGUUAAGAAUCUUGCGCAAUGGGCGAAAGCCUGACGCAGCGACGCCGCGUGGACGAUGAAGGCCUUCGGGUUGUAAAGUCUGGUAAACAGGGAAGAAUAAGCAAAGGGUAAUAUUCUUUGUGAUGACGGUACCUGUCUAAAGCCCCGGCUAACUACGUGCCAGCAGCCGCGGUAAUACGUAUGGGGCAAGCGUUGUUCGGAAUUAUUGGGCGUAAAGGGCGUCUAGGCGGGGGAUUAAGUUGGAUGUGAAAGCCUUAGGCUCAACCUGAGAAUUGCAUCCAAAACUGGUUCUCUUGAGUUCGGGAGAGGAGAGCGGAAUUCCCGGUGUAGCGGUGAAAUGCGUAGAUAUCGGGAAGAACACCAGUGGCGAAGGCGGCUCUCUGGCCUAGGACUGACGCUGAAGCGCGAAAGCGUGGGGAGCGAACGGGAUUAGAUACCCCGGUAGUCCACGCCGUAAACGUUGUGUACUAGGUGUUAGUGGUUUAACCACUAGUGCCGACGCUAACGCAUUAAGUACACCGCCUGGGGAGUACGGCCGCAAGGCUUAAACUCAAAGAAAUUGACGGGGGCCCGCACAAGCGGUGGAGCAUGUGGUUUAAUUCGAUGAUACGCGAGGAACCUUACCUGGGCUUGAACUGUAUCUGACAGGUGUAGAGAUGCACCCUCCUUCGGGCAGGUACAGAGGUGCUGCAUGGUUGUCGUCAGCUCGUGUCGUGAGAUGUUGGGUUAAGUCCCGCAACGAGCGCAACCCCUACUCCUUGUUGCCAUCAGGUAAUGCUGAGCACUCUAGGGGAACUGCCGGUGACAAACCGGAGGAAGGUGGGGAUGACGUCAAAUCAUCACGGCCCUUAUGUCCAGGGCUACACACGUGCUACAAUGGUCGGUACAAUGAGUUGCGAUACCGCGAGGUGGAGCUAAUCUCAAAAAACCGGCCUCAGUUCAGAUUGCAGUCUGCAACUCGACUGCAUGAAGUUGGAAUCGCUAGUAAUCGCAGAUCAGCACGCUGCGGCGAAUACGUUCCCGGGCCUUGUACACACCGCCCGUCACACCACCCGAGUCGGCGGCACCCGAAGUGGCUGAUCUAACCCUU
rnacentral:rRNA from 1 species